CAGCUGGUCCUCUCAGGGGGUGCCUGCGAGGGGGGUGAGAGAGAGAGAGAGAAUGUGUAUGUGUGGUGACAGGGCCUUCCAGCAGAGCAGGAAGCUGGGGAAGGUUGGAGAUGGGUGGGGAGGGGUCUCUGUCCUGCUAACCAAACUGUGUAGGCUGCAGGGCAAGAGUCAUGUACUCUGCGGGGUCCCCACCACCUCUGAGAAGAGCUCUGACCCAGAACCCCACACCCAGCUCCCUCAGGGGCCCCUGUCCUCCUGCAGGGUGGCGCCUGCCCCUUGGGAGUUCCUGGCACACACAGGGCUGAAGUUUGUCACUUCACAGUCCCCAGCUCUGUCUAGCUUUUGCUCUGCCCUAAGACAUAGGGAGGUCCUCAAGGGCGGGUGCGGUCCAGUGGUGAGGAAUUUCCCUGGAAACGGGAAGUUCAAGAUGUGUCAGUGUGGGAUCCCAGCUUGAGGAGUAAGUGGCUGAGCACAGGCAAGAGGCACCCCUGGCCGCCCUCUCCUGCUCUCUCUCCCCCAACAGCUCCCCUGGCUGUCUCAUGCAGCAGAGGCUUCACAUGGUGACAGGAUCAUCCUGCAGGUGACCUCAGUUCUCCCAAGGUAACAAUAAAACUAUCGUGAAUUGAAUGAAAUGAAUGUGUGUCAUGUUCCAGGCAUUGCACUGUCUUACAUGGAUUAUCUUAUUUAAUCUCUCAGCGAGCCUGUGUUAUCAGAAUUAUUACUCUACCUAUUUACAGAUGAUGACACUGAGACGAUGAUGAAGUGCUUGUCCUAGGAUCCCACUGGUAGUAGGUGGAAGAGACAGGGCUCAAAGUUAUGAUUUGGACAGAGAAUGUCCAGAGAAUCGAUGAGACAAAUUUUUAGAAAUUGGACCUUCCCAGAUAAUUUAGGGAUACAUGGUUGCUAUACUUGAUACUUUGGUAGGAAAACACACACACACACACACACACACACACACACACACACCAAAAACAAACCAGCAGUGGCUUUAGAGUCAAAAUUUUCACUACCAGUUAUGAUUUUGGCCAAGAAACUUGACCAUUCUGAGCCUCGGUCUCCAUCUCUACAAAAUAGGUACAAUAAUCCUUGCAUAGAACUGCUGUAAUGAAUUCAAAUGCAGCAUUUUUUCUAAACUUGGAAAACUCCAAGCUCCUUACUGCCUCAGGGCCUUUGCAUGUGCUGUAACCUAUGCCUGGAACCCUCAGCCCCAGAUGUUCACAUACUGGUUUGUUUUUGUCAUCUUGGUCUCAGGUCUUUCUUUAGACCAGGCUUCCCUGACUAACCCAUUACCCUUAGCAGCAUCGUUCUUGUUUUUCAAGCAUUGUUCUGAAAUUAUCUUGCUAAUUUAUUUGUUUUGUUUAUGGCCUAUCCUCCCUCUCCAACUGUCCAGGAUGUAAGUUUCUUGAGCACUAGGAUCUCUGUAGGGUUUAAGGACCCAUUCCCAAUGCUCAAAGCAGCACCUGGCCAAAUCAGAGGUUCCUAAAUAUUUAUGAAUGAGUGCAUGAUCAUGCUUUAAAAACGCAUUAUUUUCCAGUUUAUUAUUUUCUGUCACAGGCUUCACUAAGCCAAAGGGCAGUAAAUGUGGGUUAAUGAGGGCUUGAGAGAGGGCUUUGGGCCUGGCCCAUGCCCAGCCCUGAAGCUCCCAGGCUGCACAGAGCCAUGCUUGGGCUUCCGGCUGCUCCAGGAUAAAGGUCAACCCUUUUGCUGGAACAUGAGGUUCUGUACCAUCUGGGCCUGCCUGCCUCUGGCCUCAUCUCCCCGGGUUCUCCAACCUGUACUCCAUGUCCAGGCCAGACCAAACAACUCAAAGUGCCUACUGGAGAACACAGGCUGCUUCAUGUCACUGUACCUUUAUAGACACUACUCCUUCUACCUGGAACACUCUGCACCCUGGCUCUGCCUGGCUAGCUCCUCUCAGACUUGAAGAUUAGCCUCCUCAGAGGAGCCCUCCCUGACUCCUCUGGCCACAUCCAGUCCCCAACUUUCCAGGGCACUCUUAUGAUUUGUUUUUUUUUUUGUUUGUUUGUUUGUUUUAC
rnacentral:lncRNA from 1 species